UACGAAGGGUGCAAGCGUUACUCGGAAUUACUGGGCGUAAAGCGUGCGUAGGCGGUUUGUUAAGUCCGUUGUGAAAGCCCUGGGCUCAACCUGGGAAUUGCAGUGGAUACUGGCGAGCUAGAGUGCGGUAGAGGAUGGUGGAAAUUCCCCGGUGUAGCGGUGAAAAUGCGUAGAGAUCGGGGAGGAACACCCCGUGGCGAAGGGCGGCCCAUCUGGGACCCAGCAU
rnacentral:rRNA from 1 species